GAUCAGAUUAUGAAUAUUUGAACCUUGAGGAACUAGAACCACCGUCGAGCUAUGAACAGCUAGCCAAUGCGAAUACACAAGUUUCCACUGAUGACAGACAUUUGUAUGAAUUCCUUGGUCCAAGAACUAAUGAGGUCGUGUAUGAAGAACUCAGAAGGUGCGUUGGGUUAGAUUUUUAAUCUCUCUUGAGUAAAAUGAUAUUUAUUUUAUGAUUUCUUACAUUAAAAAGAUUAUCAUGUAUUCAUUUGCAAAUUAAAUAUAAAUUUCUAAAUUACCUUUCCUUUGGCAGAACCGGAACGUCGGACGUACGAAGAUACGGCUAUCACACGGAGAAAGUGAAACAUUUGAUAAGUCUGCGUUCACUAAAUGUGAUGACGCCAUGGCUAUGACAGCGAUAGAUGACUUCAGCUAGACAGAUACUUUAACUGAAUACAUGUACUACAAAAUAUUUAUAUGCUUCAAAGAUGGUGUUGUA